rnacentral:rRNA from 1 species
GACGAACGCUGGCGGCGUGCCUAAUACAUGCAAGUAGAACGCUGAAGCGAGGAGCUUGCUCUUCUUGGAUGAGUUGCGAACGGGUGAGUAACGCGUAGGUAACCUGCCUUGUAGCGGGGGAUAACUAUUGGAAACGAUAGCUAAUACCGCAUAACAAUGGAUGACACAUGUCAUUUAUUUGAAAGGGGCAAUUGCUCCACUACAAGAUGGACCUGCGUUGUAUUAGCUAGUAGGUGAGGUAAUGGCUCACCUAGGCGACGAUACAUAGCCGACCUGAGAGGGUGGUCGGCCACACUGGGACUGAGACACGGCCCAGACUCCUACGGGAGGCAGCAGUAGGGAAUCUUCGGCAAUGGGGGCAACCCUGACCGAGCAACGCCGCGUGAGUGAAGAAGGUUUUCGGAUCGUAAAGCUCUGUUGUAAGUCAAGAACGGGUGUGAGAGUGGAAAGUUCACACUGUGACGGUAGCUUACCAGAAAGAGACGGCUAACUACGUG